UUUAGGAACAGUGUUCUGCAUUGCCAACAUACGUGGUGGUGGAGAGUACGGUGAAAAAUGGCACAAAGCAGGAUCACUUGCCAACAAGCAGAACGUCUUUGACGACUUUAUCUCUGCCGCUGAAUACCUCGUGUCAACUGGUUACACCAACCAGAAGAAGCUUUGCAUCGAAGGUCUGAGCAAUGGCGGCCUCCUCGUAGGUGCUUGCAUAAAUCAGAGACCAGAUCUAUUCGGAUGCGCUCUGGCUCAUGUUGGUGUUAUGGACAUGCUCCGAUUCCACUUGUUCACUAUAGGUAAACAUAUAGGUUUCAGAUUCAUCCAAGUUGCUUCUAACCACCGUAAUCAUUCUCAAACUGAAAUUCUUGUUUCUCUAGGCCAUGCUUGGAUUUCUGAAUAUGGCUGUUCAGAAAACGACCAACAGUUCAAUUGGCUGAUCAAGUAAGACAUGAUAUUACUUAAUAAAAAAAACGAAAAAAGAAUGAUGAUCAGUUUAUCAUACAUUACCUGAGAGUUUGCUCUGUGACAAUUUGAUCAGGUACUCUCCACUGCACAAUGUGAGGAGACCUUGGGAAAUGAACACUGAUGAGGCAAUUCAGUACCCUCCCACCAUGUUGCUUACUGCCGAUCACGACGAUCGAGUUGUUCCAUUACACUCUCUGAAGUUGUUGGCGGUGACUGAUCGACUUUUCCCUCCAAUUCUCUCGACUGGAGACAUAACUGUAUCAUGGUUUCUUGACUUUUCUUAUUUUAUGCAGACGUUGCAGAGUGUUCUGAUCACCAGCUUGGAGAAGAGUCCCCAAACCAACCCAAUAAUUGGCCGGAUUGAUCAGAAAUCAGGCCACGGGUAUGGCCGUCCCACUCAGAAAGAGGUAAGCUUUUUUACACUUAUUGAAUUGAUUUCUUCUCUACUUAUCUGUGGGCUAUUAAUUCAACUGUGUGUUUGACAGAUUGAUAUAGCUGCCGACUGUUAUGGGUUCAUGGCGAAGAUGAUGAAUUUGGAGUGGACUGACUAGGAAACAUAAAAUCGCAUCCAGUUGAAUUCAUUAGUACUGUUGUACAAUGGUUUCUAGUAUAAGGAUAUGAUAAUAAGCAGCUGUUACAAGGUCUUGUAAGAUGGAAUAAACAGUGCAAUUCUACAAUUUGUUCUAAUCAUGUGUAAUUUGUGUACGAUGAAAUUAAAAAAUAUUGAGACUUUGAUGAAAAUCACAACCUGUGUUGUAGAAGUAAUUUCAAAAUCGAGCUUCUGUACCGAAGAAUUCGGAUUUGCUGGAUUCGGAUUACCUUUUCGGAGCCUAUAUAUAAAUCUUCCGAUUAGGGUUUCUUUCUUUGUAUUAUUGUAAAGCCUAAACCUAAAUGGAGAGGUUACCGGAUGAGCUACUCACAGAGAUAUUACGGUGGAUGCCACUGGAGGAAGCCGCAACAACAAGCCUUGUUUCGAAGCGAUGGCGAUACGCCUGGAGAAACCCACCAAAUCCUCAAUUCGACGACAACAAGAUAACUA
rnacentral:lncRNA from 1 species